GUAAAAAAUCUAGCCUACUUAUAAUUAUACAAACAAUAAUUCUAAAAAAAAUAAUCAAUUAAAACAUUUUACUACUUUAGUAUAGGCGAUAGAAAAUUUUAUUAGCGCAAUAGAAAUAGUACUGCAAAGGAAAGAUGAAAUAGAAAUUAAACAAAACAUAAAAACAACAAAAAGCAAAGAUUAACUCUUCUACCUUUUGCAUAAUGGUCUAGUAAGUUUAACCUAACAUAAAGAAUUAAAGUUAGACAUCCCGAAACUAAACGAGCUACUCCGAAGCAGCAGAAUGAGCUAACCCUUCUCUGUGGCAAAAGAGUGGGACGACUUCCGAGUAGUGGUGAUAAACCUAACGAGCUUAGUAAUAGCUGGUUACUUAAUAAAUGAACUUAAAUUCAACUUAAAAUAUUUUUAAAAUAAUUAAAAUAAGAAAUAAUAUUUUAAAGUUAAUUAAUAGAGGUUCAGCUCUAUUAAUAAAGGAUACAACCUAAAACAAUGAAUAAUGAUUAUAAUAAUUAAAGAAAUUAACCAUGUGGGCUUAAAAGCAGCAAUCAACUAAAAAGCGUUAAAGCUUAGUUUAACAAAUCUUAUUAUAACAAUAAAUAAUCUCAAUUCAUUAAAUCUAUUAAGUCUAUCUAUUUAAAUAGAUGUGUUUAUACUAGAAUUAGUAAUAAGAAACUAUUCUCUAAGUGCAAGUGUAAAUCAGAACGAACACCUCGCUGAUAAUUAACGAACCUAAUUGAAGGAAGAAUAAUAUAAUAUCAAGAAAAUUUUAUUAAACUUAUCGUUAACCCAACACAGGAGCACAUUAGAAAGAUUAAAAAUAUAGGAAGGAACUCGGCAAAUACAAACUUCGCCUGUUUACCAAAAACAUCGCCUCUUGCAAUAUAAGUAUAAGAGGUCCUGCCUGCCCAGUGACACUAAGUUCAACGGCCGCGGUAUCAUGACCGUGCAAAGGUAGCGUAAUCACUUGUCUUUUAAAUAAAGACCGGUAUGAAUGGCAAGACGAAAGUUUAACUGUCUCCCUAAAUUAAUCAAUGAAAUUGAUCUUCCCGUGCAGAAGCGGGAAUAAAAUUAUAAGACGAGAAGACCCUAUGGAGCUUUAAAUACAUGAUCAAUUGCAUAAUAUUAACCCCGAAAGAUAUAAAAUAAAAUAAAGCAUAGUGAUCAAAAUUUUAGGUUGGGGCGACCACGGAGAAAAAUAAAACCUCCGAGAUGAAGAGAAUAUCUUAAUUUAUGAGUUACAACUCUAAAAAAUAAAAUAUUUAACAUAAUUGAUCCAAUAUUUUUGAUCAACGAACUAAGUUACCCUAGGGAUAACAGCGCAAUCCUUUCCAAGAGUUCCUAUCGACGAAUGGGUUUACGACCUCGAUGUUGGAUCAGGACACCCCAAUGGUGCAGCCGCUAUUAAAGGUUCGUUUGUUCAACGAUUAAAGUCCUACGUGAUCUGAGUUCAGACCGGAGUAAUCCAGGUCAGUUUCUAUCUAUAAAUAACUUUUUCCAGUACGAAAGGACCGAAAAAAUAGAGCCAAUAUAAAAACAAGCUCUACCUCAUCCUAUUGAAAACAAUUAAAAUAGAUUAAGGCAGAUAAGCAAGCCCAAGAUAAGGGUUA
rnacentral:rRNA from 1 species